GAUGUUUAUGAUUGAGUAUAACAACUUAAACCGCAACUAGAGCUUAAAAGCCUAAGUACUGUUUCCCUUGUUAGAAGAUACAAAGCCAAAGACUCAUACAAGAUUUAGCUACAACAUCAAAGCUUUGAGAAGCAACUUGAAGCUUGGUUAGUGUUUUGGAGUGAAAUAUGACUAGAUGUCAUGUGUAUGAGUGAGUAUAACAACUAGAAUCGCAACAAGAUCUAAAGAGCCUAAGUAUUGUAUCCUUGUUA
rnacentral:sRNA from 1 species